rnacentral:rRNA from 1 species
GACGAACGCUGGCGGCGUGCUUAACACAUGCAAGUCGAACGAGAAGAGAUGAGAAGCUUGCUUCUUAUCAAUUCGAGUGGCAAACGGGUGAGUAACGCGUAAGCAACCUGCCCUUCAGAUGGGGACAACAGCUGGAAACGGCUGCUAAUACCGAAUACGUUCNCUUUAUCGCAUGGUAGAGGGAAGAAAGGGAGGCUCUUCGGAGCUUUCGCUGGAGGAGGGGCUUGCGUCUGAUUAGCUAGUUGGAGGGGUAACGGCCCGACCAAGGCGACGAUCAGUAGCCGGUCUGAGAGGAUGAACGGCCACAUUGGGACUGAGACACGGCCCAGACUCCUACGGAGGCAGCAGUGGGGAAUCUUCGCAAUGGACGAAAGUCUGACGGAGCAACGCGCGUGAACGAUGACGGCCUGGUGUAAGUCUG